AUUGAACGCUGGCGGCAUGCCUUACACAUGCAAGUCGAACGGCAGCACGGGUGCUUGCACCUGGUGGCGAGUGGCGAACGGGUGAGUAAUACAUCGGAACGUACCUUAUCGUGGGGGAUAACGCAGCGAAAGCUGUGCUAAUACCGCAUACGCCCUGAGGGGGAAAGCGGGGGAUCGCAAGACCUCGCGCGAUUAGAGCGGCCGAUGCCUGAUUAGCUUGUUGGUGGGGUAAAAGCCCACCAAGGCGACGAUCAGUAGCUGGUCUGAGAGGACGAUCAGCCACACUGGGACUGAGACACGGCCCAGACUCCUACGGGAGGCAGCAGUGGGGAACUUUGGACAAUGGGGGCAACCCUGAUCCAGCAGUGCCGCGUGAGUGAAGAAGGCCUUCGGGUUGUAAAGCUCUUUUGUCAGGGAAGAAACACCGGCUCUAACACAGUCCGGGAAUGACGGUACCUGAAGAAUAAGCACCGGCUAACUACGUGCCAGCCGCCGCAGUAA
rnacentral:rRNA from 1 species